GCUGUGAUGACCUUUUUUUUGCGUUGAUCAUCUGAAAUGAUGGCGCUUACAUGUCCUCUAAGAAGUUCUGAGCUU
ensembl:snoRNA small nucleolar RNA, C/D box 61